UGACGCGUCAUCCGGAGGGGUCGGUGUGGGGACCCCCCAAAGUGCCUUCUACGUUCAGUCCUCAUCGGCUGUUGUUGUUGUCGUCAUUUAUAUCAUUACCCAGUGUAAGAUAUCUCCACAUAUUGAAUGUCACAAUACAUAUUCUGAGGUCCGUACUUGAAAAACGUUUGUUAAAGUCCGUGCACCAAUGGAAUGUUGGAGAUCACAGUUACACGUGGAAACAGAAAGACCGGAGAGAAGCUUCAUCUCAGUGUCUACAUUCUGUUGGAAAUCCUACUUUUCCUCCAAGGUUUCUGUGAUGCCUGACGUCACCCUGCAGAUGGGCUUUGCCCCAGCCUCCCUCCCGGGGCUCCCGUCCUGGACUCACCACCGACCGCAUCUAUUGCUUUGGGCAAAUUGUCUCCGCUUGCUACACGAGUAUGAACCUGUUCUACGAUCGGGGCUAUUUUAAAUGGCUGUUGCAAGGAAAGCACUUUACGUAGUGCCCUGAAAGGCAACGGUUAACGGAGGAAAAGCACUUUACAGAACGCCCCAGUGUACGGUCAAUUCUCAGUAAAUGGUUUUGUUUUCGCCUUGUUAAGGCGAGAUCCUGCCUCCCACACGCAGAGAAGUGGCCUCAUCUUUGCCAGCGUCAGUGGAACCCUCUCUCGGCAAGGCUCUGACUCUGGACUGUGUGCCCGAGACCGCACCUCCAGCACUAGCAAGAAGGUAGAACAGCGGCCGAACGACGUUCACCAAGCAGGGACCGAGCGCCGCGCUGGGUGGUUUUGCAAGUAACAGCUCACUCACUUCCUACAGCAGCGGCGCCAGCCCAGGAGGAGGUACUGUUCUCCCAUCUUGUGGAUGAGGACACUGAGGCAACCUCUUCCCGGACACUUGUCCAACUUACGGAGCUGCAAGGCGCGGGCCGUGAGUCCGAGCCCAUGAGUCUUCAGCGAUUCUAACCGCUACGCCCUCUGACGGUUACCCUGCCUCCAAAUGCACAAGUAGAUGACCUUUCUUUCCUCGGCUCAAAGAAAGAACAACUCUCCAGGGCUGGCACCAGGAGGGACGCAGGCGAUCAGCGAGCCGGACUGCUCGCGAGCCUGGGAGGGGAGUGAAGCCCGGGAACCAGCCACUUGCACACGUCCCUACAGCUAAGUGAGUAUUAGCUUCGCAGCUGCAACCUAGGUCUGUCUAGUGUCAAUCCUGCACCCUCUGCCUCCGUCUCUCGCACCCCACAACGACACGACCCAUCGUCUCCCGUGCAUUAUUAAUUUCCUAUGCGGUUACGUUGUUUCUUAAUACCCAUGUCUCCCCAGUCAACCGUAGCCUUUCCAUAUGGAGUUUCAGAUCCUAUAAAUUAAAUGAGAACAGCAUGUUACACAGGAAUGAAGGAAUGGUUGUUGGAUUUUUUUAUUUUUUUUUGAGAUUACAGUGACUUCGACCCGUAGGUAUUUAUGGAAAAAACACUAGGAUAUUUACAAAUGUGUUAACGCUGGAACUGUAUUUUAAUUGGUUUCAUGAAAGAAAAGGACUUGGAAGCCCUGGGAUUAAUAUAAUUACUUUGCUAGAAACGAUGAAUUCUUGGCUGGCGUCUUCUGCAAGGGACCGGGUCUGUGAGCCCCUGCGAGGCUGGAGCCCUGGCGGAGAGAAGCCCGGGGCGGCAGAACCCUGGUGUGGCAGGGGGAGCAUCUGAGAGAGACGCCAGGGCUCUGCGCUUGGGGACGAGACAGUUAAAGCCUCCCCGUGCGAGCCAGUUCUAUCACACGGCGCUGGCGACAGGUCAACAGUCUGGCUGGAGCGCGGAAGGGGCUGAUGAUGCCAGGCGGUGCCAGGGACCCCGGGGAGCCCUAAAGAGGCUCCCCACGCCGGCUUUCCUUCUGCAGCCCGGGGAUGUUCCGGCAACUGCCUCAUGCAAGGAAACUGGGGCUGUGUCGCUGCUUUCCGGGCGAGCCACGCUGGAGCACUGACGUCCCCGGGCCGAGAGCCCACUGUGGCUGUGACAAAGGGACCCCGGCUGAGAGCCUGCGCAGGUUGACUGUCAAUGGGGUUUCUACGAGUUGCUUACACGGUGUGAGCAGAGCCGCUAGCAAUGAGAAGGCACAGAGGAGCCAGCACGCGCUCAGGAGAGCAGCCGGGCCCUUGAGCGGCCAGACCUCGGAUGUCAUUCAGGGAGCAACGUUCUACGUGCUCUGUGCUUCUUUGUUGGUCCAUUUGUUUGUUUUUUUCUGGUACCUUCUGUGGCGGAGUAAUGCAGGGGCAUUUGCAGAAACGGAAACCCUCACAUCUUUCCCGACGAGUUCAUUGUCUUUACCGAACCCUCAACUUUAAAGCCAUCUGGUUUGUAGAUUCAUCAACAGUGAUCAGCAGUUACACAGAUCCUCUAAGCAAUCAUGAAUAUGGUUUUUAAUUUAUUAAGUUCCUUCUAUAGGACAACCACUGAGCUAAAUACUUUGACUUACUUACCGUAUUAAAACCCUCAAAAUAACUCUACGUAUUAGGCACGCUUAGGAUCCCCGUGUUUGUUAACAAACUCAAAGAAAGGUCUGGUGACUCGCAGGUCAGUCAUGGAGCUGACUGUAAACCAUGCCUGCACGUCUCCAGCCCUGGACCUUGGCUGCUGCACGAUGUUGGGGAUUUCAGGCCUGGAAGGGCCCCCAGAUGCCAACCCCUCUGGCUUCUUCCUUGGAUGGGUGGGGGCAGCCUGGCGCACGUGGCUCGCUGAAGACAAACCAGAAGCCAGAUUGCCCGUGGCUCAGUCCAGUGCCGUCCUAACCACAACAUGUCGCCGAAGGGAAACGACGCAGGGUACGUUCCGCCUGUUCUCUGUUCUCAAUACGGGAUGGUUUCCCGGCGCAGUCUGCCAUGUUGGCGUGUCUGCGUGUAGGCCAUUGAUUGGAAAUGACAUUCCAUUGAAAACGCCUCUGAGGACCAUACAUGGAUCUCCAGCAGGGAAGGGUUAAAGUUGCAGGGAUUUUGCAGGCUGGAUCAAAUGUUCUUGAGAGGCCAUUCUUCACAUCUUGUUUCUUUAGCACCGGGAGAAGGCGAGUAAUCAAAGGUGACAAGCUUUCUCUGCUCGUCGGGUCCCAUUCCCGGCGCAGGGCAGCCCACAGGCACAUUGAUCUGCAGCGGCAGCUGCUACUGGCCUCCGAUGCAGAGAUUCCAGGCCACACGGGGCCUCGUCGUGUUAUUGGAAGGAAGGGAGGAAGGAGUGAAGGCACCACUAUCCUCAAAUUGAGACAAAACCUAUUGUCUGCAACCAUGGGAUUCGGUCACCUUGAGUACAUAUGCAGUGUGAUUUAGCUGCUAUCUCUGCUCAGGGCUCGGAGGUGGAAGGCAAGUGCACUGGACGGUUGCUGGCCUACUUGGAUGUAUUGGUCUGUAGUCUGAAGGGGCUAGGAGGGGCCGGAGGCGCUCCUCUUGGAACAGACACAGAGCAGUACGAGAGCUGCGUUACAAAGGUCUCUGUCUGGAAGCGGAGGAAGACACCACAGAAUAACGAAUGCCCUUCUCUGCCAUUUUCUCAUGGAUUCUUUUUUUUUUUAAGUAUAAUUUAUUGUCAAGUUAGCUAACUGACAGUGUAUACAGUGUGCUCUGGGUUUGGGGGGGUAGAUUCCGUGAUUCAUCGCUUACAUACAACACCCGGGGCUCAGCCCAACGAAGCUACCUUCUGGAAUAGAAGGGGACGGUGGGAAAGGGGGAGAAAAAGAAUCCAUCGACACGUAUGCAUCUGCUGUCUGCGAGGCCCUUCACGAUAACGAUAACCUUAUUAUUGUUAACUACUUUCUAACCGCCUUGCAUGCGAGAAGAUGUUUAUCGCUAUUUAAAUAAGGAAGGAAUGAAUUUGGGAGAGGCGAACCAACUUGCCCAAAUCCUAUGCCACAUCUGCAGAAAGAACUGGAAGGAAGGUGUGAUGAGGUUGAGGAUAAGGACAGUCAAGGCCGUUCGUUUCCUUUUGGGAUAUGUCAUAUUCCUUGAGACGUCCUGCAGAGUGGCUUUGAGUAAGGCUGGGUUCUCAUAUUUUGAGUAUGAUUUGUAAAUCUAAGCCUUUUGCUCCCCA